GCCCCAGCUCUUGUACCUGGAUGCUAUAAGGUUAAAGCAGCUGCAGCCAUCUUCUAUCUAAGAGAACAGAACCACAGGGAGUCCAUCCUGGAUUGCUAACACCACUGAGCCACUAUUUCCACCCCUCCAACAGGUGUGAGACAGCACUAGUUUCUUUUUACUAUGUGGAUACAGGACUUAAACCCAGGAUGAAAGGCUUGGCAACAAACACCCGUAUCUCCUGAGCCAUCUUACCAGCCCCAGGACUUGCUGUUUUUAAAGAUUUCUUAGCCAUUAUCAUCAUGGCAGGAAGCAUUGCAGUAUCCAGGCAGGCAUGGCUGUGGAGGAGCUCAGAGUUCUACAUCUUGUUCCUCAGGCAAACAGGAGAAGACUGCCCACCCCCACAGUGACAUGCUGCCUGCAACGAGGCCACGCCUCCUAAUGGUAGCAUUCCCUGUGGGCUAACCAUUCAAACACAUGCAUCUAUGGGACCAAACCUAUUCAAACCACCACAAGAGAGGAAUACACCAAAGAGACAUCUGGACCCUGGAGUCACAGCCACCUCAGUUGUCAUCCCAGCCCAGGCAUUCUCCAGCCAUAGCAAGCCGUCUGCCUCCCCAGUCUUACUUUCUCUGUUUGAAUAAUAAGAGAAAACUGACCUAAAGAAGUACUUACGACAAGCAUCUUCACAAAUCAGAACUCUAUAAAUGAAAGCUAUAUAAAAGUGAUCUAGGUAGGGUGGGUGUGUGUGUGUGCGCACACGCGCGUGUGCGUGUGUGUAAAACACUUGAUAUGCUCUGGGUGGUAGCUGCGUACACCUUUUUAUCCCAGCACUCAGGAGGCAGAGGCAGGCAGAUCUCUGAGUUUGAAAUCAGCCUGGUCUACAGAGUGAGUUCCAGGUCAGCUGGGGUUCCACAGAGAAACCCUGUCUCAAAACCAACCAACAAACAAACAAAACAAAAACAAAAACAAAAAACAACAAGCAAACAAAAACUCUUGAUAUACAACCAAAAUUGAAGCUUCUCAGUGGAUGGCAUGGUUUUAAAUUAUGAACUGUAACAAACAGCAUAAACCAGCAGACCACACAUAUUCCAUACUUCAAUAAUCUGUCUUCCACAGAUCCAACAGAUCUCAAUAAAAUGCAACACUCCCAUUCAGCUCUGUGCUAUAAAUUUUAUCUCCACAUUCACUUCUCCAUCCAAUACACCCUCCCACAUUCCCCGGAUAGCACCAUUUGUUGUUGUUGUUGUUGUUGUUGUUGUUGUUGUUAUUGUUGUUGUUGUUUAGACAAGAAGGGAAUUCUUAAAAAUUCUUAAAUUCUUAAAAAUUCUUAAAAAAACUCUUCUUAAGCACGGGCUUGAUCUUCCUAGACCAUCUUCACUCAUACUUACCCACUGUCCAAAAUCUAAAUUGUUAUCAUCAAACCUCUAAAAAUAAGCCCACCUUUGUAAACGUAAGCCUAAUGGAUUACUUUGACAAGAAAAGAUUCUCUAGAUGGCCUUUCCUUCUGUUUUUGUCUCCAUAUUUCCUCCUAUGACUAUUUUGGUUCCCCAUUCUAAGGACUGAAGCAUCCACACUCCAGAGGCUGCCCCACGGGGAUCCAGCCCAUAUACAGCCACCAAACCCAGAUAAUAUUGCUGAUGCCAAGAAGUGCAUGCUGACAGGAGCCCGAUAUAGCUGUCUCCUGAGAGGCUCUGCCAGAGCAUGGCAAAUACAGAGGCGAAUGCUAGCAAACAACCAUUGAACUGAGAAAGGAGUCCCCUUUGGAGGAGUUAGAGAAAGGAUUGAAGGAACUGAAGGAGCUUGCAACCCCAUAAAAACAACAAUGUCAACCAACCAGAACCCCCAGGAACUAAACCACCAUCCAAAGAGUACACAUGGACAGACCUAUGGCUCCAGCUGCUUAUGUAGCAGAGGAUGGCCUUGUUAGACACCAAUGGGAGGAGAAGCCCUUGGUCCUGCCAAGGUUCCAUGCCCCAGUGUAGAGAAAUGUCAGGGUGGAGAAGCAGGAAGGGGUGGGUGGGGGAGCACCCUCAUAGAAGCGGGGGGAGGGGGCAUGGGAUAGGGGCUUUAUGGACUGUAAACUAGGAAAGGGGAUAACAUUUGAAAUAAAAAUAAAAAAUAUCCAAUUUUUAAAAAAGGAAA